rnacentral:rRNA from 1 species
GGAGUUAGCCGGUGCUUCUUCUGCGAGUAACGUCACAGAUGUAAGGUAUUAACUUACACCCUUUCCUCCUCGCUGAAAGUGCUUUACAACCCGAAGGCCUUCUUCACACACGCGGCAUGGCUGCAUCAGGGUUUCCCCCAUUGUGCAAUAUUCCCCACUGCUGCCUCCCGUAGGAGUCUGGGCCGUGUCUCAGUCCCAGUGUGGCUGAUCAUCCUCUCAGACCAGCUAGGGAUCGUCGCCUAGGUGAGCCUUUACCUCACCUACUAGCUAAUCCCACCUGGGCUUAUCCAUCAGCGCAAGGCCCGAAGGUCCCCUGCUUUCCCCCGUAGGGCGUAUGCGGUAUUAGCAGUCGUUUCCAACUGUUAUCCCCACAAAUGGGCAAAUUCCCAGGCAUUACUCACCCGUCCGCCGCUCGUCAUCUUCAAAAGCAAGCUUUUGAAAUGUUACCGCUCGACUUGCAUGUGUUAGGCCUGCCGCCAGCGUUCAAUCUGAACCAGAUCAAAUUCUGA